rnacentral:rRNA from 1 species
CGGAGGGUCCAAGCGUUAUCCGGAAUCAUUGGGUUUAAAGGGUCCGUAGGCGGUUUUGUAAGUCAGUGGUGAAAGCCCAUCGCUCAACGGUGGAACGGCCAUUGAUACUGCAAGACUUGAAUUAUUAGGAAGUAACUAGAAUAUGUAGUGUAGCGGUGAAAUGCUUAGAGAUUACAUGGAAUACCAAUUGCGAAGGCAGGUUACUACUAAUGGAUUGACGCUGAUGGACGAAAGCGUGGGGAGCGAACAGGAUUAGAUACCCUGGUAGUCCACGCCGUAAACGAUGGAUACUAGCUGUUCGGAGCAAUCUGAGUGGCUAAGCGAAAGUGAUAAGUAUCCUACCUGGGGAGUACGUUCGCAAGAAUG